UACGGAGGGUGCGAGCGUUGUCCGGAAUCACUGGGCGUAAAGGGCGCGUAGGCGGCUCGUGAAGUCAGUGGUGAAAGCCCAGGGCUCAACUCUGGGUCGGCCACUGAUACCCGCGAGCUCGAGUUUGGUAGAGGCAGAUGGAAUUCCGGGUGUAGCGGUGGAAUGCGUAGAGAUCCGGAAGAACACCGGUGGCGAAGGCGGUCUGCUGGGCCAAGACUGACGCUGAGGCGCGACAGCGUGGGGAGCAAACAGG
rnacentral:rRNA from 1 species